CACGUAGGGUGCGAGCGUUGUCCGGAAUUAUUGGGCGUAAAGGGCUCGUAGGCGGUUUGUCGCGUCGGGAGUGAAAUCCACUGGCUUAACUGGUGGCUUGCUUUCGAUACGGGCAGACUGGAGGUAUGCAGGGGAGAACGGAAUUCCUGGUGUAGCGGUGAAAUGCGCAGAUAUCAGGAGGAACACCGGUGGCGAAGGCGGAUCUCUGGGCCAUUACUGACGCUGAGGAGCGAAAGCGUGGGGAGCGAACAGG
rnacentral:rRNA from 1 species